GACGAACGCUGGUGGCGUGCUUAACACAUGCAAGUCGAACGGAAAGGCCCUGCUUUUGUGGGGUGCUCGAGUGGCGAACGGGUGAGUAACACGUGAGUAACCUGCCCUUGACUUUGGGAUAACUUCAGGAAACUGGGGCUAAUACCGGAUAGGAGCUCCUGCUGCAUGGUGGGGGUUGGAAAGUUUCGGCGGUUGGGGAUGGACUCGCGGCUUAUCAGCUUGUUGGUGGGGUAGUGGCUUACCAAGGCUUUGACGGGUAGCCGGCCUGAGAGGGUGACCGGCCACAUUGGGACUGAGAUACGGCCCAGACUCCUACGGGAGGCAGCAGUGGGGAAUAUUGCACAAUGGGCGGAAGCCUGAUGCAGCAACGCCGCGUGCGGGAUGACGGCCUUCGGGUUGUAAACCGCUUUCGCCUGUGACGAAGCGUGAGUGACGGUAAUGGGUAAAGAAGCACCGGCUAACUACGUGCCAGCAGCCGCGGUGAUACGUAGGGUGCGAGCGUUGUCCGGAUUUAUUGGGCGUAAAGGGCUCGUAGGUGGUUGAUCGCGUCGGAAGUGUAAUCUUGGGGCUUAACCCUGAGCGUGCUUUCGAUACGGGUUGACUUGAGGAAGGUAGGGGAGAAUGGAAUUCCUGGUGGAGCGGUGGAAUGCGCAGAUAUCAGGAGGAACACCAGUGGCGAAGGCGGUUCUCUGGGCCUUUCCUGACGCUGAGGAGCGAAAGCGUGGGGAGCGAACAGGCUUAGAUACCCUGGUAGUCCACGCUGUAAACGGUGGGUACUAGGUGUGGGGUCCAUUCCACGGGUUCCGUGCCGUAGCUAACGCUUUAAGUACCCCGCCUGGGGAGUACGGCCGCAAGGCUAAAACUCAAAGGAAUUGACGGGGCCCCGCACAAGCGGCGGAGCAUGCGGAUUAAUUCGAUGCAACGCGUAGAACCUUACCUGGGUUUGACAUGGAUCGGGAGUGCUCAGAGAUGGGUGUGCCUCUUUUGGGGUCGGUUCACAGGUGGUGCAUGGCUGUCGUCAGCUCGUGUCGUGAGAUGUUGGGUUAAGUCCCGCAACGAGCGCAACCCUUGUUCACUGUUGCCAGCACGUUAUGGUGGGGACUCAGUGGAGACCGCCGGGGUCAACUCGGAGGAAGGUGGGGAUGACGUCAAGUCAUCAUGCCCCUUAUGUCCAGGGCUUCACGCAUGCUACAAUGGCUGGUACAGAGAGUGGCGAGCCUGUGAGGGUGAGCGGAUCUCGGAAAGCCGGUCUCAGUUCGGAUUGGGGUCUGCAACUCGACCUCAUGAAGUCGGAGUCGCUAGUAAUCGCAGAUCAGCAACGCUGCGGUGAAUACGUUCCCGGG
rnacentral:rRNA from 1 species